GAUGAAGUACGUAGCGAAAUGCGAUAAGUAAUGUGAAUUGCAGAAUUCAGUGAAUCAUCGAAUCUUUGAACGCAUCUUGCGCUCCUUGGUAUUCUGAGGAGCAUGCCUGUUUGAGUGUCAUUAAAUUCUCAACUACACUGACUUUGAAUUGGUGUGGCUUGGAUUUGGGGGGAAAAUUGUUGUGGGCUUUUUGUAUAGUCUGCUCCCCUGAAAUUGAUUAGCGGUACCCUUGUGGAACUGUCUACAGGUGUGAUAAUUAUCUACAUCUUAGACAUCUGCUGGAAUGCUGCUUUCUAAACCUUACUUGUAUUGACAAUCUUGACCUCAAAUCAGGUAGGACUACCCGCUGAACUUAAGCAUAUCAAUAAGCGGAGGA
rnacentral:misc_RNA from 1 species